CAAGGGGCGGGGCCUGUGCCCGCGCAGCUCUCACCGCGGUCCCCUUAUUUGGAUCUGCGGGAAUGUGGGCUGGAGCGGUCCUGCAGCGGUACCAGCCUCCAGCCUGUCGCCGGGACUGCCCCUGACCCAGGCGCGCCCGCUGCUCGGUGGCAGGAGGGCCGGCGGAGCGCCAUGGCCUGCAUCCUGAAGUUUUACAGCUUCUAUUGUGAGCAUACUGUGUUCCUCAUUACAAAAUGCAAGCCUUACUAAAAUGAAGGGUACAUAAUUAAGUAUUCUCUAUUACUUUUAAGAGAAGAUAUUUCUGCAGCUGAAGAAGAAACCUACAUGGAAAGGACUAGCAAAGAAAGGGACACAUUGAGGAGUGUGUGGAAAUGGUAGGUUUCCUCUCUUGGAUCUGAGAGCUUGUUAAGUAGAGGAGAUAUCCUAAAGAAAGCACAGAGUGUGCCAAGAUCAAGAGAAGUCCAUCCCCACAAUAGCAGAUAAUUGACCUGGUGGC
rnacentral:lncRNA from 1 species